rnacentral:rRNA from 1 species
AGCGAACGCUGGCGGCAUGCCUAACACAUGCAAGUCGCACGCCCCGCGAGGGAGUGGCGGACGGGUGCGUAACGCGUAGGGAUCUGUCCCGAGGUGGGGGAUAACCCUGGGAAACUAGGGCUAAUACCGCAUGACACCUGAGGGUCAAAGGCGCGAGUCGCCUUGGGAGGAACCUGCGUCCGAUUAGCUAGUUGGUGGGGUAAAGGCCUACCAAGGCGACGAUCGGUAGCUGGUCUGAGAGGAUGAUCAGCCACACUGGGACUGAGACACGGCCCAGACUCCUACGGGAGGCAGCAGUGGGGAAUAUUGGACAAUGGGCGAAAGCCUGAUCCAGCAAUGCCGCGUGGGUGAAGAAGGUCUUCGGAUUGUAAAGCCCUUUCGGCGGGGACGAUGAUGACGGUACCCGCAGAAGAAGCCCCGGCUAACUUCGUGCCAGCAGCCGCGGUAAAAC